CUUCAGCUGUUCUACAGCCCCAGUCUGGGCCCGGGGGGGCUGGAUCUGCUUCUGGAUUACAGGAGGGAAAUGAAGUACAACCAGUACCGUCAACGGCGAGGCUGUCAAAGAAAAGAAGUGACCCCAAACAGAAAAUCAAUGACCCAGGCUGUGAUCAGCAACUCGCUGUGUUAGUUUAGUGUCAAGAAUGCGGUCAGGAUUUAAGAAAACUUUACAAUCAUAGAUCACCUCCCCAAACAAAAGCUAAUAAACAAAGAACACAUCUUUAAGGUGAGAAGAAGUUAUUAGUGAACUAUGACUGAAAUUGAUUUCUAAAUACAGCAGAAUUAAAUGUGGAGCUAUUUAAAGGUGAAGGUUGGCUUGGCUUACUCUUGAGCAGAGGAACAGAACAGGCUUCUUUGCACUGCAUCAUCGGUGGACCUCAACUGUGAAUUUCUAGUCAGCAAAUGGGCACUUCAUUUGGUGCAUCUGAGCAGAGGACAAGGGCUGUGCUAAAAACGAUCAUGUCACCAUCUGAUCUAUAACUCCAUUGAAGACAGAUCCACGGGCAAGAAGACUAAAACUUGGAGAUGACUUGUGCCAGACCAUGCAGCCAGCAGAACAGACGAUGGAGAUAGAGAUAUGCUUGAUGGUUACUUCAUGGUGGGAAUAGCAUAGACAUUAUCAGGCCUCAGAUUUACUUACAAAGCAGAACGAGAAGCCCCAGAGUCAUCUUGUGCACUUUCUGUCCAAGAACUAGAAUCUGUCAUGUCUCCACAAGCUCAGGACAUUUUCUUCUCAGCCAUGGAGGGGUCUGCCUGUUCUAACUGCAAGGAGGAGACACUGUGAAGCCAAAGUCCUGGCCUGAGAAUCCAGAGCAAGACCCAAUCCAGAGAAGAAACCAAGGCUGAGCUUCAGUGGAAUGAAGAGCAGGAGGCAGAGCGGCUGUCAGAGGCCCCCUCAGGCAAAGGUUUCUCUCUCUUGGCCGGUGGAUCAUGGGAGGGACUCCUAAAACGGAUUUCUGCCAGUUCAUCAGUUUCCUAAAUUUGCCCUUUGUCAAGUGUUCAUUUUGUACUCUUCGUGUAUAAAUGCAGAACAUUCAUUCCAUCUCAAUCUGUGUCAUUUGUAUCCAUUUCUCUGCACACU